GGGCUCACACAAGCGGUGGAGGAUGUGGCUUAAUUCGAGGCUACGCGAAGAACCUUAUCCUAGAUUUGACAUGCUUGAGAAUCCCUAUGAAAGUAGAGAGUGCUCUUCGGAGAGCUCUUGCACAGGUGCUGCAUGGCUGUCGUCAGCUCGUGUCGUGAGAUGUCGGGUUAAGUCCCUUAACGAGCGAAACCCUUAUCUCUAGUUGCCAGCGGGUAAUGCCGGGGACUCUAGAGAGACUGCCGGUGUCAAACCGGAGGAAGGUGGGGAUGACGUCAAGUCCUCAUGGCCUUUAUGUCUAGGGCUGCACACGUCCUACAAUGGCACGGACAAACGGACGCAAUACCGCGAGGUGGAGCA
rnacentral:rRNA from 1 species